CCCACGAGUAGAGAGACGGCAGGAAGUUCCAGCUCAGUUCAACUGCGGCCGCAGCUUAAUGAUGUGCUCUGUGAUUGUCUAGCCGAUAUCAGUAACAUGACCCGAAAAACUUGUUAUAGGUUCCCUCGCUCUUCUCGGGAGAAUUCAGUGCUCUGAAGGGAUUUAAAUGGACUCUAACGGACAGCUGAACUUCAAUUCAUCGUUUCUCUCCGCCCGGUGUCAAACGAAUGGCAAACGUCAAAGUCGCGAUUCGAGUCCGUCCGCUGAACUCCAGAGAGAGUCUGGAUGGAGGACGAUUUGCUGUACAAUUGGAAGACAAAGUGGUGAGGGUACGAAAUGUCAAGUUGGAGGGGCGUUUGGACGGGCGAUCGGAGGGUCUGACUGACUCUAGGGAGAAGUUUCUGGAGUUUGGGUUUUGUUU